rnacentral:rRNA from 1 species
UACGGGGGGGGCAAGCGUUGUUCGGAUUUACUGGGCGUAAAGGGCGCGUAGGCGGCACCGCAAGUCGACUGUGAAAUCUCCGGGCUUAACUCGGAAAGGUCAGCCGAUACUGCGGGGCUAGAGUGCAGAAGGGGCAACUGGAAUUCUCGGUGUAGCGGUGAAAUGCGUAGAUAUCGAGAGGAACACCUGCGGCGAAGGCGGGUUGCUGGGCUGACACUGACGCUGAUGCGCGAAAGCUAGGGGAGCGAACGGG